rnacentral:lncRNA from 1 species
CUAGGUGAUGAUAUUCUGAUCUAUGAGAUGCAAGAAGAUGUGAUGUGUGGGACAUCCAUGAAAACUGAUUAAUGAGAUCUGACAUAAAUUAGAGAUCACAACCCACUACCACCACCACCAUUUUUCUCCUCUAUCCUAUUUUUUUGUGACCUCUAGCAUGACCAUGAUGCCAAGAUCUCUAGCAGCCACAUAGUGACCUGAGGUAAAUCUGAGUAUGAAAAUCAUGUGCCAGGAUGGUGUAGAAAGAGGGUUUUGGAUCCUAUUGACAAUGGGAAGUUGGUCUUCCUACCUCUGAACCUCUUUAUGUAAGAGAAGUAACCUGAAUUUUUAAAGCCAUUAUUAUUUCCAUUUUCUCUUAUCAGCAGACAAACACAAGUCCUAAUUUUAUAGAGACCAAAUGCAUUCUGGACCUCAGAAAGAGGUUCCUGGAGGAAAUGUUUUCAACCACUAACUCUGCUAAUUUCAGGCCAAGUAAGGCCUUAUAUAGGCAGUCUGACCACUGCCACACUUGCAUAAGUUCUAAAUUUGAAAUAAAUCCCUUACUCUAUAUCACUUAUAGUGGAUCUGCUUCUCUGAUAAAACCCUCACUAAGACAAUUAUCAUCCACUGUUUGUUUUUCCUGUGGUAAAUAUAUCAUUGCUGUAUAAAAAUAACCUUUUAAUUAUUAACUCAGUUGGCCCAGUUUAGCAUCUUUUCCAUCUUCCAUUCUUAAUUUGAUAAUUACCAUCUUUCAUAAUAAUUCUCCUUCAGGAUUCACAAUACAUGUAUGUUGAAUGUUAAGGCCAUUCUUCAUUGAUAUUUACACUUUGACUCCAUGGUGAGAGAAGCUGCAGUAUCUGAGAAAUAAAUAAUUUGUAUGUGGGAGGUGUGAUUUUAUAGCUAGAUUAUAGUUCAGUUUCUAGUUCUUUCUUUUAGAGAGAUUUCUCUUGGUCAUAUCUUUAUAGAAGUAUGAAGAAAUUUAGUUUUACUGUUAUUAUAUUAACAUUUUAAAAAGCAGCUUUCUACAAGGUAUGGCAUCAGGUGGAAUUAUUCUUGCUGUGCUCUCAAAUAAUCUUCAUGCUAGGUUUUUGGGCCUCAUUGCAGCCCCUGAACACUUAUGCCUCUGUGUACCUCCUCUGUAUGACAUAGUGAAUUUUUUGGACCUUUGAAUCACACACAGGCUUUCUUGGCUGUUUUAUGUCAAAGGACUUUCACUAAAUUCCUAAGAAAAAUUUAGCACAGCCGAUGCUGUUUUCCAGUGCCAACCUUGGAGUUUGCAAUGCCCAGACAAAAAUACCAUAGCUCAUGGUGAUGAUGAUGUCAAUAUUUUUUUAAAAUACAAUUUAAAAAAUGGUUCAACAUAAAUUAUCUCAUUUAGUCCCCUGAACAACCUUGUGAUGUGAUUUUGAACAGGAAUAUCAAGACCUCAGGAUCUGGCAUCAAGUUCUAGGGUUUGAAUAUUAUUUCUAUCACAAACUAUUUAUAUUACUGCUUAUAUGCCCUCCAGUAAGUGACAACCUUUCUAUUCCUUAUUUUUUCCACUUGUAAAAUCAGAAAAAUGACAAUGAUGAGAGCACCAAGCUUAUGAGCAUGUGAAGAUUAAAUGUGUGUAUGAGUUUUUAUUAGCUUGAGAGACAUUAUAUUUCCAUUUGUUGUCACUCUCUCCCUUCCAUCAGGGUAGGACCUUUCUUCAGUGCAUCACUUUGUCCCCUGAACCUAGAAUGGUACCUGGAAUAUCGUUGGUGCCCAAUAAGUACUUGCUGAAUAAAUGACAGAAUAAAUAAAUGUAAUCUGUCAAUAUUUUCAUCUGAAGAUAUGAUAUCUGUUUUUUACCUUAUUUUUUCAAUCAUCUGAAAGGUAGUAUGCACAUUUGAAAGGUAGUCAUUGUUAUUUCCUUAUACCACUACUUGCACUUUUACAAUAUGUAGCAAUAAUCAUAAGCAAAGUGUCAUGACAGAGUGAGAAUAAACUUAAAUCUGUAAUUGCAAUUUUUCUUCACCGUGGCCUCCAUUGUUUGUCAUGUGUCUUGGCUACGUCAGGAUGGAAAGCAUUGCUUUUUUCUAUUUACAGGACCAGAAUUAAAUCCAUGUUUCUUGGCUGACCAUUUGGUUAGUUUUGUUUGUUUGUUUGUUUUUUCAUGGAAUGUUUAUGGUGGUUGGGCUGGAAUAGGUAUAGCAUUUUAUUUAUUUAUAUUCAGCUGAAACUAAGAGUAACAGAUACACCAUAGUAUCGUUUAAGUGAAAUAUUUCAGACCAAGAAGUGGGGACAAGAACAAUACUUGUGUAAUAAUAUGAUGUACCAUUUUACAGUAUUUGAAAGUGCUGAUGCCUGCAUGUAUAGCAUCAGUCAAGAAAGAGAGGUAAUGAAAGAGAUUUCAAAUGAAUAUCAGAUAGGCUUUAGUAUUACAUAGGAUAAGACAGGCAGGAUUGGUCAGGGUAUGCUGGAAAAGAUUUUUUAUCUUAUUUUAUUGGCUUUAUUUAAAUUUUAUAAAAAUUCAAACCAUACAGUACUUUAUAAUAAAAUUGACAGCCUUUCCUACUCUAUUUCCAGUGCAACUGUGGAAGUGGCACUGACAGAUAUGGUUUUAGCUACUUAGAAAUUUUUCUAGACACACACACACACACACACACACAAUUUAUAUGCAAAAUACUCAUACGCAUUUCAUGUUUUUUCUUUAUUCAGCAAGUUAUAAUGGAUAUUCUUUUAUAGCAUACAUAGCAAUGGACUCAUCUUUUUAAAGACUGCCUAGAAGUCUGUAGUUAUAAUACAGUCAAUCAUGUAACUAAUUCUCUAAAAACAAGCCAGAUGAUAUUUACUAAGAACUUACUAUGGGUCAGGCACAGCUCCAAUAGUCUAAUCUCAUCUAAUCUCAAUACGUUCAUGAGUUAGGAAUGGUUGUUAUUCCCAUAUGUUCCCAGUGAGGAAACUGAAGCAGAGAGUUUAAAUAAUGUGUCCUAAAUUACAGAAUUAUUAAACUGGUACUGGAAUUAUGCAAAGAUAAUCAGGCAUCAGAGUUUGUGAUGUCAACUGUUAUGUGAUACUGCAAUAAAUAUUGUAUAAACCUUUGUAAA